rnacentral:rRNA from 1 species
AGAGUGAACGCUGGCGGUAGGCCUAACACAUGCAAGUCGAACGGCAGCACGGUAAGAGCUUGCUCUUAUGGGUGGCGAGUGGCGGACGGGUGAGGAAUACAUCGGAAUCUACCUUUUGGUGGGGGAUAACGUAGGGAAACUUACGCUAAUACCGCAUACGCCCUUCGGGGGAAAGCCGGGGACCAGCAAUGGCCUGGCGCUGAUAGAUGAGCCGAUGUCGGAUUAGCUAGUUGGUGAGGUAAUGGCUCACCAAGGCGACGAUCCGUAGCUGGUCUGAGAGGAUGAUCAGCCACACUGGAACUGAGACACGGUCCAGACUCCUACGGGAGGCAGCAGUGGGGAAUAGUUGGACAAUGGGCGCAAGCCUGAUCCAGCCAUACCGCGUGGUGAAGAAGGUCCUUCGGGUUGUAAAGUCCCGUUUUAGUAGGGAAAAGUAAAAGCGAAUUACGGUUAAUACCCGGGUUGUUACCGUGGUAACCGGUAACCCAAAGAACUAA